AUUGAACGCUGGCGGCAUGCUUUACACAUGCGAGUCGAACGGUAACAGGGUGCUUGCACCGCUGACGAGUGGCGAACGGGUGAGUAAUGCGUCGGAACGCACCGAGUAAUGGGGGAUAACGCAGCGGAAGCUGUGCUAAUACCGCAUACGCUCUGAGGAGGAAAGCGGGGGACCUUCGGGCCUCGCGUUAUUCGAGCGGCCGACGUCUGAUUAGCUAGUAGGUGAGGUAAGAGCUCACCUAGGCGACGAUCAGUAGCGGGUCUGAGAGGAUGAUCCGCCACACUGGGACGGAGACACGGCCCAGACUCCUACGGGAGGCAGCAGUGGGGAAUUUUGGACAAUGGGCGCAAGCCUGAUCCAGCCAUGCCGCGUGUCUGAAGAAGGCCUUCGGGUUGUAAAGGACUUUUGUCAGGGAGGAAAUCCUUAGCGCUAAUACCGUUGAGGGAUGACAGUACCUGAAGAAUAAGCACCGGCUAACUACGUGCCAGCAGCCGCCGUAA
rnacentral:rRNA from 1 species